rnacentral:rRNA from 1 species
AGUGAACGCUGGCGGCAGGCCUAACACAUGCAAGUCGAGCGGCAGCGCGUCCGACCACCCUCGGGUGGUCGGAUGGCGGCGAGCGGCGGACGGGUGAGGAAUGCAUCGGAAUCUGCCUCGUUGUGGGGGAUAACGUAGGGAAACUUACGCUAAUACCGCAUACGACCUACGGGUGAAAGUGGGGGACCUUCGGGCCUCACGCGAUGAGAUGAGCCGAUGCCGGAUUAGCUAGUUGGCGGGGGUAAAGGCCCACCAAGGCGACGAUCCGUAGCUGGUCUGAGAGGAUGAUCAGCCACACUGGAACUGAGACACGGUCCAGACUCCUACGGGAGGCAGCAGUGGGGAAUAUUGGACAAUGGGCGCAAGCCUGAUCCAGCCAUGCCGCGUGUGUGAAGAAGGCC